UACGAGGGGGGCAAGCGUUGUUCGGAUUUACUGGGCGUAAAGGGCGCGUAGGCGGUCAGCACAAGUCAGUUGUGAAAUCUCCGGGCUUAACUCGGAAAGGUCAACUGAUACUGUGCGACUAGAGUGCAGAAGGGGCAACUGGAAUUCUCGGUGUAGCGGUGAAAUGCGUAGAUAUCGAGAGGAACACCUGCGGCGAAGGCGGGUUGCUGGGCUGACACUGACGCUGAUGCGCGAAAGCCAGGGGAGCGAACGGG
rnacentral:rRNA from 1 species